rnacentral:rRNA from 1 species
UACGGAGGGUGCAAGCGUUAUCCGGAUUUACUGGGUUUAAAGGGUGCGCAGGCGGAUAUGUAAGUCAGCGGUGAAAUCUUUGGGCUUAACCCGAAAAUUGCCAUUGAUACUAUAUAUCUUGAAUGCUGUGGAGGUAAGCGGAAUAUGUCAUGUAGCGGUGAAAUGCUUAGAGAUGACAUAGAACACCUAUUGCGAAGGCAGCUUACUACGCAGAUAUUGACGCUCAUGCACGAAAGCGUGGGGAUCAAACAGG